GGUCGUUGCAAGUUCCCGAUAGGCUCUAGUAAUUGCUAGAGGUGCCUUGUAACCGAAUAAUAAUUAGGGGGAAUAGAAAAAUG
rnacentral:sRNA from 2 species